rnacentral:rRNA from 1 species
UGGGGAAUCUUCCGCAAUGGACGAAAGUCUGACGGAGCAACGCCGCGUGAGUGAAGAAGGUUUUCGGAUCGUAAAACUCUGUCUUUUGGGGCGAACGUGAGUAUGGUGAACAAUCAUAGUCAGUGACGGUACCAAAGGAGGAAGCCACGGCUAACUACGUGCCAGCAGCCGCGGUAAUACGUAGGUGGCAAGCGUUGUCCGGAAUUAUUGGGCGUAAAGAGCGCGUAGGCGGGAUAGUCAGUCUGUUGUAAAGUGCGGGGCUCAACCCCGUGAUGGCAAUGGAAACAGCUAUUCUUGAGUGCAGGAGAGGAAAGUGGAAUUCCCAGUGUAGCGGUGAAAUGCGUAGAUAUUGGGAGGAACACCAGUGGCGAAGGCGACUUCCUGGACUGUGUCUGACGCUGAGGCGCGAAAGCCAGGGGAGCGAACGGGAUUAGAUACCCCGGUAGUCCUGGCCGUAAACGAUGGGUACUAGGUGUGGGGGGUAUCGACCCCUUCCGUGCCGGAGUUAACGCAAUAAGUACCCCGCCUGGGGAGUACGGUCGCAAGAUU